GGAGGCGCUAGUGGGAGAAUGAAAGUCACUGGAAGGAAAGAAGCCAGGGCUAUCCUCAUCCUCUUUCAUCUGUACGUAGUGGAGUGUCUGACAGCGGUUGUAUCUCCUCUUGCUCCCAUUGGGCAGCUUGCUCUAUUUCCAGCUUCUGUGGGGUGACCUCAGUCCUGGGACUCAGUAACACCUUCUACUUUUUAUCUAGGGAUGAGAAAAUCGCAGCAGAGAAGCUUAGGUGAUGCACUGAACGACAUAUAUUAUAGCUGCCUUGCCAUUUCUGGGUGUUAUCAGUGAGAUAGGCACAAUAAUAUCCCCCAAAAGGUGCCCAUGGCCUAAUCCUCAGAUCCUUGUCUGUGAAACUGUGGCAGGCUGUACAUUGUUAGCCUCCAAAUAUUGUAACAUCCUUUCAUAGUCUUGACAGGAUCACAACAAAAUAUUUCAGGGAUGUUAAAGUAGAAGAAAAUAUGCGUCUUAGAAUGAAUGAAACCCUCCUGUUAGAAUUGAUGAAAGACGGCAUAUCACUUGUCAGAGAAAGAUAAGCACUAUCGAAAAGGUACAAUCAAAACUUUUGGAGUGCCAAAGUGAAAAACAUAAUUUUUGUUGGAAUGAUCAAGAAAAUAUUGCUGGAGAGCAUGCUGAAAAUCAGUCACGGUUGGAGUAUUCGUACUAUAAAAUUGGGAAAGCACAGAAAAUCUGUACCUUUGUUCCAGGAAACUGGUUAUUAAACAUUUACCAUUGCAACACAGAUGGCGAUGCAUUACAUCUUACAUAAAGGAAGAGAAAAAAACCAUGGAAGGAUUUUUGCUAUAAGGCACAAGUACCUGCGGAAGAGACAGACAGAAACAGAAAGCAAGAAAUUGCCCCUCAAGGUGAUGGACAUGCGACAAUAUCUUCUUCUCCACUCUCCUCUUGGGAUUUCUGGCAUGCACACACUUGUGCCCAGCAUUGAAUUGUAAGCUUCCAGGUGUGGAGCACCCCCGCCCUAACAUGGCACCGAGAGCACCCAGACCUCUACAUAAACAAGCCCAUAUUUGGUUAUUGUUCCUGUUCCGGAACGCGUAGGCACUGCC